AGCAGCCGCGGUAAUUCCAGCUCCAAUAGCGCAUAUUAAAGUUGUUGCAGUUAAAAGCUCGUAGUUGAAUUUUAGUCCUGGCCGGGCGGUCCGUCUUUGGCGAGUACUGUCCUGUGUCGGGUCUUCCUUCUGGUGAACCAGUAUGUCCUUUAUUGGGUGUGCCGGGGAGCCAGGACCAUUACCUUGAAAAAUUAGAGUGUUUAAAGCGGGCAUUUGCUUGAAUAGAUUAGCAUGGAAUAAUAGAAUAGGACGUUGUGGUUCUAUUUUGUUGGUUUCUAGGACCACCGUAAUGAUUAAUAGGGAUAGUUGGGGGCAUUAGUAUUCAAUUGUCAGAGGUGAAAUUCUUGGAUUUAUUGAAGACUAACUACUGCGAAAGCAUUUGUCAAGGAUGUUUUCAUUAAUCAAGAACGAAAGUUAGGGAUCGAAGACGAUCAGAUACCGUCGUAGUCUUAACCAUAAACUAUGCCGACUAGGAAUCGGGCGACGUUAUUUUCAUGACUCGCUUCGGCGCCUUAGUGGG
rnacentral:rRNA from 1 species